rnacentral:rRNA from 1 species
CAUGUGGGCGGCAUGACAAGUCUGGUGUGAAAUAUCUCGGCUCAACCGAGAAAACGCACUGGAAACUGUCAAGCUUGAGUAUCGGAGGGGAAGCUAGAAUUCCUGGUGUAGGGGUGAAAUCUGUAGAUAUCAGGAAGAAUACCGGUGGCGAAGGCGAGCUUCUGGCCAGAUACUGACGCUGAGAUGCGAAAGCGUGGGGAGCGAACAGGAUUAGAUACCCUGGUAGUC